GCAUCAUUGGUCUAGUGGUAGAAUCCAUCGUUGCCAUUGCAAACGCAGUAACCGCGGUCACGUGACCCGAAUUCGAUGGGGCCCGUGUUCGAUUCACGGAUGAUGCA